UACGAGUGGUGCAAACGUUAUUCGGAAUUACUGGGCUUAAAGGGUGCGUAGGCUGCCAUGAGGGUCUGAUGUGAAAUACCACGGCUCAACCAUGGAACGGCGUUGGAAACCACAUGGCUGGAGUGAGACAGAGGUGAGCGGAACUGAUGGUGGAGCGGUGAAAUGCGUUGAUAUCAUCAGGAACACCGGUGGCGAAAGCGGCUCACUGGGUCUUUACUGACGCUGAUGCACGAAAGCCAGGGGAGCAAACGGG
rnacentral:rRNA from 1 species